rnacentral:misc_RNA from 1 species
UUGAAUAAACUUGACCUGGGUUGUAGCUGGCUCUCCGGAGCAUGUGCACGCUCUUGUCACCUUUAUCUUUCCACCUGUGCACACACUGUAGUCCCUGGAUACCUCUCGCUGAAAGGCGGAUGCGAAGAUUGCUGCUGCCUCUUCUGAGGCUCGGCUCUCUUCGAAUUUCCAGGGUCUAUGAAUCUUUUUUACACACCCCAAACGAAUGUUAUAGAAUGUAUUCAUUGGGCCUCUGUGCCUAUAAAAUCAAUAC